rnacentral:tRNA from 1 species
GGCAAGGUAGCUCAGUUGGUUAGAGCACAGCACUCAUAAUGCUGGGGUCGGUGGCCUAGAUU